rnacentral:rRNA from 1 species
AUGAACGCUGGCGGCGUGUCUUAGGCAUGCAAGUCAAGGGGGCGUAGCAAUACGCAACCGGCAGACGGGUGAGUACGACAGUGGUAACCUACCUCGAAGUCUUGAACAACCUUGCGAAAGCGAGGCUAAUACAAGAUGGUCAAGGGGGGACGAAAGUCAUUCCCUUGUAAAGAAUUUCGCUUCGAGAGGGGCCUUUGGCCUAUCAGCUAGUUGGUGAGGUAAUAGCUCACCAAGGCUAUGACGGGUAGCGGGUGUGAGAGCAUGACCCGCCUCAGUGGCACUGAAACACUGGCCACACUCCUACGGGAGGCUGCAGUCGAGAAUUUUCCGCAAUGCACGAAAGUGUGACGGAGCGACGCCGCGUGCAGGAAGACGCUUUUCGGAGUGUAAACUGCUUUUCUCUGGGAAAAACUUGCGAUGGUACCAGAGGAAUAAGAGGCUGCUAACUGCGU